ACCCUACAAACCCUCGCCCGUCUCCUCCGAAACCCUAAUAAUCCAGAUCGGAAGGAGCCCCGAAACCCUUUACAUGGGGAUCUUCGAGCCGUAUAGGGCCCUCGGCUACAUCACCGGCCCCGUGCCCUUCUCCGUGCAGAGGCUCGGCACCGAGACCUUCGUCACCGUCAGCGUCGGAAAAGCUUUUCAGAUCUACGACUGUGCUAAGCUGACUUUGGUUCUUUCCGGACCUCAACUGCCAAAAAAGAUCCGUGCUCUUGCAUCCUGCAAAGAUUAUACUUUUGCUGCGUACGGAAGCGAUAUUGGAGUGUUCAAACGUGCUCAGCAGGUAGCCACAUGGAGCAAACACAAAGAAAAAGUCAAGUUAUUAUUCUUGUUUGGAGAACAUAUCUUGAGCCUAGAUAUUAGGGGUAACAUAUUUAUUUGGUCAUUUAAAGGAAGGGAGCCUAACCUUGAACCAGUUGGGCAUAUACUUUUAGAAGGCAAAUUCUCUCCAAGCUGCAUAACGCAUCCAGAUACUUAUCUAAAUAAGGUCAUCAUUGGUAGUCAAGAAGGUCCACUGCAACUAUGGAAUGUCAGCACGAAGAAGAAACUUUACGAAUUUAAAGGCUGGAAUUCAUCUGUAUGUUGUUGUGUUGCAUCACCUGCAUUGGAUGUGGUUGCUGUUGGCUGUUCUGAUGGAACUAUCCAUGUACACAAUAUGCGGUAUGAUGAAGAGUUAGUUUCAUUUCCGCAUUCUGUUCGUGGUUCUGUGACUGCAUUGUCAUUUAGAACAGAUGGACAACCACUUCUAGCUUCUGGAGGUUCAUCAGGUCUGAUUAGCAUAUGGAAUCUUGAGAAGAAAAGGCUUCAGUCUGUCAUUAGGGAAGCUCAUGAUGCCUCAAUAGUGUCACUGCAUUUUUUUGCCAAUGAGCCUGUUCUUAUGAGCUCUGCAGCAGAUAAUUCAAUAAAAAUGUGGAUUUUUGAUAACAAUGAUGGAGAUGCUCGCCUUUUACGUUUUCGAAGUGGCCAUAGUGCUCCACCUCUUUGUGUGAGGUUCUAUGGAAAUGGAAGAUUCCUCUUAUCUGCCGGGCAAGACCGUGCCUUCCGUCUCUUCUCUGUCAUCCAGGACCAACAAAGCAGAGAGUUGUCUCAGCGCCAUGUGGCUAAAAGAGCUAAGAAACUUGGAAAGAAGGAAGAAGAGAUCAAGCUAAGGCCUGUCAUUGCUUUUGAUUUUGCUGAGAUACGUGAGCGUGAUUGGUGCAAUGUUGUGACGUGUCACAUGGAUACUCCACGGGCAUACGUAUGGCGGCUUCAGAACUUUGUUCUUGGUGAGCAUAUUCUGACACCAUCUGCAGACAUUGAAUCACCUGUUAAGACUUGUACAAUAAGUGCAUGUGGUAAUUUUGCUGUCUUGGGAACUGAGGGUGGUUGGAUUGAAAGAUUUAACCUGCAAUCGGGAAUCAGCCGAGGCAGCUACAUUGAUACUCUUGAACCUAGACAAUGUGCACAUGAUGGAGAAGUAGUCGGAAUUGCUUGUGAUGCUACAAACAGUUCAUUAAUAAGUGCAGGGUAUCAUGGUGAUAUCAAGGUGUGGGAUUUCAAAAGUCGUGGACUAACAGCUCGACAGGAAGUUGGACGUUCUCUUGUGAAGUUUGUAUAUCACAGAGUAAAUGGACUUCUUGCAACUGUGGCAGAUGACAUGGUUCUUCGCCUGUUUGAUGUUGUGGCACUGCGAAUGGUUCGUAACUUUGAGGGUCAUACGGAUCGAGUUACCGAUUUGUGCUUUAGUGAGGAUGGAAAGUGGCUUUUGUCUUCUGGUAUGGAUGGAACUCUCAGAAUAUGGGAUAUCAUAUUGGCCAGACAGAUAGAUGCAAUAUGCGUCGAUGCGUCCAUAACUGCACUAUCUCUGUCACCUUCUAUGGAUGUAUUGGCAACUACUCAUGUUGAUCAGAAUGGUGUCUAUCUUUGGGUUAAUCAGGCUAUGUUCUCGGGGUCCACCAAUAUAGAUAAUUAUGCAAGUGGGAAGCAUGUACGAAAUGUUCAAAUGCCAUCUGUCUCUGCGAAAGAAGGAUCCGAAGAAGAAUCAAUUCAAGCUUCAGGCAACCAGUCCCAAAUGAAAAAUUCUUCGUUUGCACAUAUUGAUCACCAAAUACCUAAUCUAAUCACACUCUCCUUGCUUCCGAGGAGCCAGUGGCAACAUUUGACUAAUUUAGACAUUAUAAAGGUUCGUAACAAGCCAGUUGAGCCACCGAAAAAGCCGGAAAAGGCACCCUUUUUCUUGCCCUCUACUCCGUCUCUUUCCGGAGAAAUAGUAUUUAAACCUAAUUCUGAUGCCAAUAGUGAAGAAAAAGAUCGAAAAAAUAUUGGCCUGAAGCAUCAUAACAAAACUGCUGAUAUAACCUCGCGAUUCAUUCUGCUGUUACAGUCCUGUGGAGAUACAAAAAACUUUUCAGAGUUUACGGAGUACAUUAAAAGUUUAUCUCCCUCAUCUCUGGAUAUGGAACUGCGAUUGCUCCAGAUAGUAGAUGACGGCAAUCUAGAAAAUCUGGACCAGCGGCCUGAAUUAGGUUCUAUCGCACUUCUGUUGGAUUAUUUCAUUCAUGAGCUUUCCGCCAGGAAUAACUUCGAGUUUAUUCAAGCUGUUAUUAGGUUGUUUCUUAAGAUACACGGUGAAACUGUGCGGCACCAUUCAAUUUUACAGGCGAAGGCGAAGAAGCUUCUAGAAGUUCAAAGCUCGGUUUGGCAACGGAUAGACAAAAUGUUUCAAAGUGCAAGAUGCAUGGCCACAUUUCUUAGCAAUUCACAGUUCUAGCAAAGGGUUCCUUCUCUGAUUGCAUACACAAGGGUAGUUUCUCCUUGCAGUUAAUUUCAUGCCAAGCCUAUGCUUUGCUGCCUUAGCUAAUUAGGAGGUACAAUCUCUAUUUCCAGCUACAGCUCCGUAUUGCUUCUGCGCUUCCCUUUAUCUAAAGAGAGACUCGCAGCUCAUCAGCACUUCUUGAUAGCUUCUUCUUUUUGUCAACUGAGAUCCGCUUCGGAGAUUUACAGUGAACUGAACUUCAUCUGCCCAGAAACCAUUCAUAGUCUCGACGGCGAUAGAGACGAAGAUCUCUACAGACAUGUUGAGGAGUCGUCGAACAACACAAACCAUGCAAAAUUUUGGGCGCCAAUCGCGUAUUUUGUAGGUAUUACCAGUAUCUAUUGCUGCGUGGUGAAAAUCUCACCAUGAAUCGAAUUUCCGAUCUUGAUUAAUGUAUAAUUUCUUGAUAUCUAAACAAGUAUGUUGCGGCGUGAAAUUUUGUUAGAAGUUGUAUUUAUGGUCAUUAUAUUUGUAAUCUAAUUAUAAUGGCAAAAUUUCUGAGUUAUGUAUCAAAUUUUCAUGUUAAAUCGAGAGAGUUGAAUAUAUUCCAAGGUCUUAAA